UACAGAGGGGGCCAGCGUUAUUCGGAAUUAUUGGGCGUAAAGGGCGCGUAGGCGGCCUUGCGUGUCUUUCGUGAAAUCCCUCGGCUUAACUGAGGACGUGCGGAAGAAACUGCAGGGCUUGAGUCCGGGAGAGGGGGGUGGAAUUCCCAGUGUAGCGGUGAAAUGCGUAGAUAUUGGGAGGAACACCGGUGGCGAAGGCGGCUCACUGGCUCGUAUCUGACGCUCAGGCGCGACAGCGUGGGGAUCAAACAGG
rnacentral:rRNA from 1 species